rnacentral:rRNA from 1 species
GAGCGAAAUCGGACCAGCCAAUUUGCGAUUAGAUAAGAACCGGAAGUGUCUGGGAAGGCACAUCAUAGAGGGUGAUAGUCCCGUACGGGUAGAAAGUUUAAUUGUAAGAGAGUAGGGCGGAGCACGAGAAAUUCUGUCUGAAGAUAGGUCGACCACGAUCUAAGGCUAAGUACUACUGAUUGACCGAUAGUGAACCAGUACCGUGAGGGAAAGGUGAAAAGCACCCCGACAAGGGGAGUGAAAGAGAACCUGAAACCGGAUGCCUACAAGCAGUCGGAGGGGCAUUAAGCCCUGACGGCGUACCUUUUGUAUAAUGGGUCAGCGAGUUAGUUUAUGUAGCAAGCAUAAGCCGAUAGGUGGAUGCGUAGCGAAAGCGAGUGUUAAUAGCGCGUUAAGUUACAUGAAUUAGACCCGAAACCGAGUGAUCUAGCCAUGAACAGGUUGAAGGUUGGGUAACACCAACUGGAGGACCGAACCCACUCCCGUUGAAAAGGUAGGGGAUGAUUUGUGGCUAGGGGUGAAAGGCCAAUCAAACUCGGAAAUAGCUGGUUCUCCGCGAAAACUAUUUAGGUAGUGCGGUAGGCGAACACCAUGAGGGGUAGAGCACUGAAAGAGCUAAGGGGGAGCGAUCCUUACUAAACUUUAUCAAACUCCGAAUACUCAUGAGUGAUACUUACCAGACAGACAGUAGGUGCUAAGGUCUAUUGUCGAGAGGGAAAGAGCCCAGACCGUCAACUAAGGUCCCUAAAUUAUGGCUAAGUGGUAAAGGAAGUGGGAUAUCCAAAACAGUCAGGAGGUUGGCUUAGAAGCAGCCAUCCUUUAAAGAAAGCGUAAUAGCUCACUGAUCUAAAUAAGACGUCCUGCGCCGAAGAUGUAACGGGGCUAAAGCCAUAUACCGAAGUUACGGGAUUGUAUUGCAAUAGAUACAAUCGGUAGCGGAGCGUUCUGUAGGCCUGCGAAGGUAAACCGUAAGGUUUGCUGGAGGUAUCAGAAGUGAGAAUGCUGACAUGAGUAGCGAAAAGAAGAGUGAGAGACUCUUCCGCUGAAAGUCCAAGGUUUCCUGCGUAAAGCUAAUCUGCGCAGGGUUAGUCGGCCCCUAAGGCGAGGCAGAGAUGCGUAGCUGAUGGGAACACGGUUAAUAUUCCGUGACCAGUUAGGAAGUGACGGAUACAGUAGUUUGUACAUGCUUAAUGGAUUGUGUGUGCAAGUGAUGUGUCCCGGGAAAUAGCCCUAACGAAGACCGUACCCGAAACCGACACAGGUGGACAGGUAGAGUAUACCAAAGCGCUUGAGAGAACUAUGUUGAAGGAACUAGGCAAAAUGCUUGUGUAACUUCGGGAUAAGCAAGCCCGGUUUUAAGGCAACUUAAGGCCGGGGGCACAUACUAGGGGGUAGCGACUGUUUAACAAAAACACAGGACUCUGCGAAAUUGAAAGAUGAAGUAUAGGGUCUGACGCCUGCCCGGUGCCGGAAGGUUAAGGAGAGAUGUGAGAGCAUUGAACUGAAGCCCCGGUAAACGGCGGCCGUAACUAUAACGGUCCUAAGGUAGCGAAAUUCCUUGUCGGGUAAGUUCCGACCUGCACGAAUGGCGUAACGACUUCCCCGCUGUCUCCAACAUAGGCUCAGCGAAAUUGAAUUCUGAGUUAAGAUGCUCAGUACCCGCGGUUAGACGGAAAGACCCCGUGAACCUUUACUAUAGCUUUGCAGUGGUAUUAGGUAAGACAUGUGUAGGAUAGGUGGGAUGCUAUGAAGGUAGGACGCUAGUUUUACUGGAGCAGACGUUGAAAUACCACCCUUGUGUUAUUUGAUAUCUAACCUACUUCCGUAAACCGGAAGAGGGACCCUGCAUGGUGGGUAGUUUGACUGGGGCGGUCGCCUCCCAAAGAGUAACGGAGGCGCGCGAAGGUUGGCUCAGAUUGGUCGGAAAUCAAUCGUUGAGUGCAAUGGCAUAAGCCAGCCUGACUGCGAGAGCGACGGUUCGAGCAGAGACGAAAGUCGGUCAUAGUGAUCCGGUGGUCCCGAGUGGAAGGGCCAUCGC